GACUCAGAAGAGAUAAGACUAGAGGCAGAGAUACUAGCUAAGAAGCUGUUGCAACAAUGAAAGAAGAAAUGAUGAGAACCUAAACUAAGGCAAUACUAAUAGAAGCAAAGAGAAGGGAAGAGAUUUCACAAGUUUAUAAGAAGAAAGUGAUGAGAACACCAAAGACAGAAUAUAUGGUUCUUCUAGAAGAUCCACUUUCAAUUUUACUAAAGUGAAUGACCCACUUUGAUGAAAAGAAUAAUGACUUCUAAGGUCUCUUACAACUCUAAUGUUACAAUUCUAUUGUUCCAUCUGGAAUUGCCUUUUGAAGACAGCACACCUGUGGCCUAAAACUUCCUUGGUGAACAUGUGAAAUAUUUUUUAAUGAAAGCCCAUUACAUAUAAAGCCAUACAACCCCAAACAUGCAGUGAUAAUGCUUAUAGCAAAGAAAAACCAAGUAAAGACACUAUCUACAUUUACCUACUCUGAUCCCAAUUGGCUGCAAACAGCAAAAGAAUCUUCCUGCCGUAAUGGUCUCGGUUUUCCAGCACCCCGGGGAACCCAUCGAUCAGAGCCCUCUUAAUGCCGGGAUCAUCUGC
rnacentral:lncRNA from 1 species